UCCUACGGGGCGCAGCAGUGGGGAAUAUUGCACAAUGGGGGGAACCCUGAUGCAGCGACGCCGCGUGAGUGAAGAAGUAUCUCGGUACGUAAAGCUCUAUCAGCAGGGAAGAAAAUGACGGUACCUGACCAAGAAGCCCCGGCUAACUACGUGCCAGCAGCCGCGGUAAUACGUAGGGGGCAAGCGUUAUCCGGAUUUACUGGGUGUAAAGGGAGCGUAGACGGCAGAGCAAGUCUGAAGUGAAAUCCCGCGGCUUAACCCCGGGACUGCUUUGGAAACUG
rnacentral:rRNA from 1 species